GAUGAACGCUAGCGGGGAGGCCUAAUACAUGCAAGUCGAACGGCAGCAGGCGCAGCAAUGCGUGCUGGCGAGUGGCGCACGGGUGAGUAACGCGUACGCAACCUGCCCCUUACCGGGGAACAGCCCUGGGAAACCGGGAAUAAUUCCGCAUGUGGUCCAGAGUUCGCAUGAACGCUGGACUAAAGUAUAACAGCGGUAGGGGAUGGGCGUGCGUCUGAUUAGGUAGNGGCGGGGUAACGGCCCACCAAGCCUUCGAUCAGUAGGGGACGUGAGAGCGUGGUCCCCCACACGGGUACUGAGACACGGACCCGACUCCUACGGGAGGCAGCAGUAAGGAAUAUUGGUCAAUGGUGGAAACACUGAACCAGCCAUCCCGCGUGCACGGACGAA
rnacentral:rRNA from 1 species